GGCCUCAAUUUUAUCAUCAUAAGAAUAGGUCUCUUAUGAAGAUUAAAUGGGAUAAUGUCUAUAAGGUUGCUUAGUGCACUACCCAGCACAUCAGUAUACUUUCAUAAAUGAUCAUUGUUAUUAACCUAGCACCAUCCCUUCCCAACUUACAACCCUUUCACAACUCCCCAUGGACCAUGGCAUAAAGGCUGAGCUCCUUUUUUACAAACUAUGGAUCUAGCAUGCUAUCUAUACAAGUACUGUGCAAUAGAACUUUCUGCAACAAUGGAAAUGUUCUCUACUUGUGCUGACCAAGAUGGUAGCCACUGGCUACUUGUAGCCAUUAAGCACUUGAAAAGGGUAUGGUUGAAAAACAAUUUUAAAUUUUAUUUGAUUUUAACUUAUAGUUUUCUUUUUUUAUAGUUUUUAAUGACUUUUUUUCCCAUUAUAGUUGGCUAAUAGUGUUCUGUCAAUUUUCUACUGCACAGCACGGUGACCCAGUCACACAUAAACAUAUAUACAUUCUUUUUCUCACAUUAUUAGGGUCCAUGAUAAGUGACUAGAUAUAGUUCCCAGUGCUAUACAGCAGGAUUUCAUUGCUUAUCCAUUCCAAAAGCAAUAGUGUGCAUCUAUCUUUUUUAUAUAUUACUCAAUGAAUUUAUUUCAUUUAUAGUUGUACAAUGAUCAUCACAACCCAAUUUUAUAACAUUUCCAUCCCAAACCCCCAGCAUCCCCCCACCCUCCAACCUCUGUCCUUUGGAAACCAUAAGUUUUUCAAAGUCUGUGAGUCAGUAUAUGUUCUGCAAAGAAGUUCAGUCUGUCCUUUUUUUCAGAUUCCACAUGUCAGUGACAGCAUUUGAUGUUGGUGUCUCACUGUCUAAAUGACUCCACUUAGCAUGAUAAAUUUUAGGUCCAUCCAUGUUACUAAAAAUGCCAUUAUUUCAUUCCUUUUAAUGGCUUUCCUUUCCUUUUAAUAUUCCAUUGUAUAUGUACCACAUCUUCUUUAUCCACUCCUCUGUCAAUGGACAUUAAAGUUGUUUCCAUGUCUUGGCUAUGGCAAAUAGUGCUGCAAUGAACAAUGGAGUACAUGUGUCUUUUCGAGUCAUGGUUUUCUCUGGAUAGAUGCCCAGGAGUGAACAAUGGAGUACAUGUGCAUUUUUGAGUCAUGGUUUUCUCUGGAUAGAUGCCCAGGAGUGGGAUUGCUGGAUCAAAUGGUAGUUCUAUUUUUAGUUUUCUGAGGAAUCUCCAUACUGUUUUCCACAGUGGUUGCACUAGUUUACAUUCCCACCAAAGUGUAAUAUGGUUCCUUUUUCUCUACACCCUCUCCAGCACUUAGUGUUUGUAGACUUUUUGAUACUGGCCAUUCUGGCUGGUGUAAGGUGGUACCUCAUAGUGGUUUUGAUUUGCAUUUCUCUAAUAAUGAGUGAUGUUGAACAUCUUUUCAUGUGUUUUUUUGGCCAUGUGUAUGUCUUCUUUGGAGAAUUGUCUGUUUAGAUCUUCUGCCCAUUUUUUGAUGGGGUUGUUUGGGUUUUUUUGGUAUUGAGCUGCAGGAGGUGUUUAUAAAUUUUGGAGAUUAAUCCCUUGUCAGUUGAUUCAUUCGCAAAGAUUUUCUUCCAUUUUGUGGGUUGUCUUUCUGUUUUGUUUAGGGUUUCCUUUGCUGUUCAGAAACUUUGAAGCUUAAGUCACAUUUGUUUAUUUUUGUUUUUACUGUCAUUACUCGAAGAAGUGGAUCUGAGUUACUGUCAUUUAAGUCAGAGAAUGUUUGGCCUAUGUUUUCCUCUAAGAGUUUUGUAGUAUCUGGUCUUAUAUCUAGGUUUUUGAUCCAUUUUGAGUUUAUUUUUGUGUAUGGUGUUAGGAAGUGUUCUAAUUUCAUUCUUUUACAUGUGGCCGUCCAGUUUUCCUAGCACCACUUAUUGAAUAGGCUGUCUUUUCUCCAUUGUAUAUUUUUGGCUCCUUUGUCAUAGAUUAGUUGACUGUAGGUGUGUGGGUAUAGUUUUCAAUAGUCACAGGCAGCUACUAUAUUAAACAGCACAAGUCUUAGACUUUUGCAUUUCCCUUGGAAAGAACUCACUCUAGCCUAAUGAAUUUUUUUUCACCUCUUGCUUUUUUGCCUCUAAACAUUCAAGUCUAUGGGGUAUUGCAUAAAGCUAUGUUGUUUGUGCACUGAAAAAAAAAUGCCCAGGUGAGAAGGAGAGUAUGACCUGAAGCUUGGUUCAUCAACAUGAUUGUCCUGGUGUGGGGCUGUAUCUGCAGGGAGGAUGGACCAUUUUUUUUCUAAUUCACCUACAGAGAAGGGGAGCCUUAAUCAAAAAUGUCUUUAUCCAGCAGUGUCCCUACCCUCCUACUUAUUACCUCUCUGGCUAAAGCCAUCUUGUCUUAUAAGACUAGCCCAAAUUCCUGCUCACUCACUAAGCUUCUUAAUUUUCUAAACUUUCAGAACUUUCUUUAGCUGGGAGACAUGAUGGAGGCCAUUGGUUAAGAGUUCAGUUUCUAAAGCAUGUGCCUAGUUGGAAUCCCUAUUUGUCACCUAUGUGUGACCUUGGCCGUGUUAUUUUAUCUCACCGUGUACUCCAACUACGUAAUUGGACAACAGCAGUACCACUUCUAUUGUAGGACGGUUUUAAGAAGUAAACGACAAUGUGGUUAAGUUAACAUGAUGCCUAACUCAAAGUGAGUGUGGACUUCCUGCUUGUACUCAUUCUUUCUUUCAAUAAUUAUUUAUUGAGCAUCUACCACAUGCCAGACACCUUGUCAGCCUCUGGAAAGGCAAUGGUGAGUAAACAUAGAUAAAAUCCCUGCCCACUUAGAGGUGUGUAGGGAUCCAGGUGAUUUUUCAAAUUAUGGCAAAACAACUGUGGAACUUCAAUGGGGACAAGUCCAAAGGAAAGAGUCUUAGUGCUGUGAGAGCCUGUGUUCUCUCCUAGGAAGGUCAGAAGAGAGUUUUCUGGAGUUCCCAUCAUGGCUCAGUGGUAACAAAUCUGACUAGGAACUGUGAGGUUGCAUGUUCAAUCCCUAGCCUCGCUCAGUGGGCUAACAUCCGGCAUUACCAUGAACUGUGGUGUAAGUCACAGCCGAGGCUCAGAUCCUGCAUGGCUGUGGCUAUGGCAUAGGCAGGCAGCUAUAGCUCCGAUUGGAUCUCUAGCCUGCGAA
rnacentral:lncRNA from 1 species